rnacentral:rRNA from 1 species
GGGAAUCUACCCAUCCCUACGGGAUAGCUCCGGGAAGCUGGAAUUAAUACCGUAUACGUCCUUCGGGAGAAAGAUUUAUCGGGGAUGGAUGAGCCCGCGUUGGAUUAGCUAGUUGGUGGGGUAAAGGCCUACCAAGGCGACGAUCCAUAGCUGGUCUAAGAGGAUGAUCAGCCACAUUGGGACUGAGACACGGCCCAAACUCCUACGGGAGGCAGCAGUGGGGAAUAUUGGACAAUGGGCGCAAGCCUGAUCCAGCCAUGCCGCGUGAGUGAUGAAGGCCCUAGGGUUGUAAAGCUCUUUCAGUGGGGACGAUAAUGACGGUACCCACAGAAGAAGCCCCGGCUAACUUCGUGCCAGCAGCCGCGGUAAUACGAAGGGGGCUAGCGUUGUUCGGAAUUACUGGGCGUAAAGCGCACGUAGGCGGAAAUUUAAGUCAGGGGUGAAAUCCCGGGGCUCAACCCCGGAACUGCCUUUGAUACUGGGUUUCUUGAGUUCGGAAGAGGUAAGUGGAAUUGCGAGU